AUGCGGCGCCGCUGCUCGGGCCCCUCCCAGCCGCUUUACGGCGUCCGCCUCGCCUUGCGCCGCCCCGGGACCCAGAACUCGGGACCCGUCGCCGCUCCCACGCCCGGGCGGUUCCCCUGCGCGGCCAUCGGCUGCCUCCUUCAGGUCCGGCCGCCUCCCGCGCGCCUGAUAGCAUGGCCGCCUUCGCGUGGCUGCUCCCGCCCACGGAUCGCCGCCCCGUGCUGGCCGCCUCCCGCGCACCGCCUUCUCGUCUGCAGCCGGGGCCUCCCCUGCUCCGCGCAGGCACUGGCCGCCCGCCAGCUCGCUGCGUCCGACUCCGCUAGCCACUCUGGCUCCGGCCGGCUCCCACCUUCUCCCGCGUCCGCCUCAUCCCGACGCACCUUCGCCCGCGCCGGCUGGCCGCGGUUCGGAUCCCGCGCCUCCGGCCGCGUCGGCCCCGUGCACCUCCAGACGCAUGCCUCCGUGCCUCGCCCUCCCGCCGCCUGCACCGCUCCCGCACCCGGCCGCCGGGUCGCCCAGCACCGACUUCACCCCGCCAGUCGGCCUCCGCAUCCGGCGUCGACUCCACCUCGCCGGGACCCCUCGCCGCUGCACCCCGCGUCAGUCCGACUCCUUCUCCGGCACCCGGCCGCAUGCUGGCCCCGCCUCACCUUCGCCCUGCGCCUGCCAUCUCCCCGCGCCUGGCCGCGUCGCCGUUGCCCCGCUUGCCGGCCCCGCCCGCUUCCUGGCUGGACGGCUCGCCGCCCCCGCGCUGGCUCUGCCCGCAUCCCGGCCUCCUGCGCUGGCCGGCUCCGCCACACGACCCGGCCUGCCGGCUUCCCCGGCGACCCGACCUGCCGGCUCCCCCGCAACCCGGACGCCGGCCUCUGGCGCGACUCGGCCGUUGGCUUCCGCCGCGUCCCGCUCCUACCGGCUCAUCAGGCAGAGAAUAAAAAGAAAGAAGAGAAGAAAAGUCAAGCCACUGGCUGA
rnacentral:rRNA from 1 species